rnacentral:rRNA from 1 species
AUUGAACGCUGGCGGCAGGCCUAACACAUGCAAGUCGAGCGGAUGAAGGGAGCUUGCUCCUGGAUUCAGCGGCGGACGGGUGAGUAAUGCCUAGGAAUCUGCCUGGUAGUGGGGGAUAACGUCCGGAAACGGGCGCUAAUACCGCAUACGUCCUGAGGGAGAAAGUGGGGGAUCUUCGGACCUCACGCUAUCAGAUGAGCCUAGGUCGGAUUAGCUAGUUGGUGGGGUAAAGGCCUACCAAGGCGACGAUCCGUAACUGGUCUGAGAGGAUGAUCAGUCACACUGUAACUGAGACACGGGCCAGACUCCUACGGGAGGCAGCAGUGGGGAAUAUUGGACAAUGGGCGAAAGCGUGAUCCAGCCAUGCCGCGUGUGUGAAGAAGGUCUUCGGAUUGUAAAGCACUUUAAGUUGGGAGGAAGGGCAGUAAGUUAAUACCUUGCUGUUUUGACGUUACCAACAGAAUAAGCACCGGCUAACUUCGUG